GUGAGUGCUGUAGGAUGGGGCUC
rnacentral:miRNA from 1 species